rnacentral:misc_RNA from 1 species
AGCAGCCGCGGUAAUUCCAGCUCCAAUAGCGUAUAUUAAAGUUGUUGCAGUUAAAAAGCUCGUAGUUGAAUUUCGGGAUUGACACAUCGGUCGUGCCUUAAGGGGUAUGAACUGGUGUAGUCAAUUUCUCACCUUCUGGAGAACCGCGAUGCCCUUAAUUGGGUGUCGCGGGGAACCAGGACCUUUACUUUGAAAAAUUAGAGUGUUUAAAGCAGGCAUUUUGCUUGAAUACAUUAGCAUGGAAUAAUAAAAUAGGACGGCAUGAUUCUAUUUUGUUGGUUUCUAGGAUCACCGUAAUGAUUAAUAGGGAUAGUUGGGGGCAUUAGUAUUCAAUUGUCAGAGGUGAAAUUCUUGGAUUUAUUGAAGACUAACUACUGCGAAAGCAUUUGCCAAGGAUGUUUUCAUUAAUCAAGAACGAAAGUUAGGGGAUCGAAGACGAUCAGAUACCGUCAUAGUCUUAACCAUAAACUAUGCCGACUAGGAA